UAGCCAGACUCCUACGGGAGGCAGCAGUGAGGAAUAUUGGUCAAUGGUCGGGAGACUGAACCAGCCAAGCCGCGUGAGGGAGGAAGGUACAGAGUAUCGUAAACCUCUUUUGUCAGGGAACAAAGACUGGGACGCGUCCCCGGAUGAGUGUACCUGAAGAAAAAGCAUCGGCUAACUCCGUGCCAGCAGCCGCGGUAAUACGGAGGAUGCGAGCGUUAUCCGGAUUUAUUGGGUGUAAAGGGAGCGUAGACGGCAAUACAAGUCGGAAGUGAAAUACCCGGGCUUAACCUGGGAACUGCUUUGGAAACUGUAUGGCUGGAGUGCUGGAGAGGUAAGCGGAAUUCCUAGUGUAGCGGUGAAAUGCGUAGAUAUUAGGAGGAACACCAGUGGCGAAGGCGGCUUACUGGACAGUAACUGACGUUGAGGCUCGAAAGCGUGGGGAGCAAACAGGAUUAGAUACCCCCGUA
rnacentral:rRNA from 1 species